rnacentral:lncRNA from 1 species
UAUCAACUCCUGAUCUCCACAAGCACACUCACAAACACAGCCUGAAGAUUAUCAAUUGAUUUGCAGUCAAUACUGUCUGCACAACACAUUUAUCUUUUAAAAGGAAAAGAAAACAUUUUUGAGCCAUUUAGACUCAGGCUCCUCAACAGCUCUCAGGAUCUUGGUUCCUGCCUCAUCUGCUGAGCUUGGAGCCUUCUAGUCUUCUAGUGAGCUGAGAUUGCCAGGUGACAGAAUGUGCACUUUCCUACUGUCUUCAAUGCAGCCCAUUUCCUGAAGGUGUGAAGGUGAUGAAUUCACUCAGAUGAGCUCAUUGUCAAGCCCCAGAGACCCUCACCUACAGGAACAGCUUUGAACUGCACAGCUUGGGCCUCCUACUCACUAGGGUAUUUUUAGAGAUGAGCAAAGAACAAAACUGAACUUUUCAAACAGGAAAGGAAUGCAAAGUGCUUAGAGCGGGUUUGCAAAGGGCAAAGCUUAUUUAAAAAGACUAUUGAUCGGGCCUAACUGCAGCAUGACAGGGUCAAAUAGAAUCAGGAGCAUGCAGGAGGAAGCCAGGUGGGGAAAGCUAAUCUCCGAACACCCAGGGGAGAUUUGAACAGCACCCUCCAGUGAGUUGAUGGCCCAUGGAGUAUUGAGAUUCCUAAGAAGGCAAGAAGUUUUCUUGAAAGCAAGCCUUGCAGUUGAUGAGAGAUCGGCCUUGGCCUUGUUGUAGCCUCUGGUCCAUAGCCUAUGACUUGUCUUUGGGGACAGCAAAUGGAGGUGUCUUAACUCAUCGAUCCAUCUGGAUGGGGUUGAAGAGCCUAACGAUGACUCACUGCAUGCCUCAGGAGCCAAAUGAGAAGAAUUCCUGUAAACAGAUCUAAGGUAUUAUGCAAAGAGAAAAAUAGAUAAAUGCUUGAUAAAGGCUGUCUCUGCUGGGGAAGAGCUCCUGGAACAGCCAGCGGUUUUGUGAUAAAGCAUCCAGUCUCCACAGCUGUCUUCCUAAUAAGCCAGAAGCACAUUUACCAUAGCCUGGUCCUGCCUGAGAUAUGAGCGAAAAGCACAGAUGGCCCUGUCUGCCUUCAGCCCAGCAGAGACUACG